rnacentral:lncRNA from 1 species
AUGUAUGGGGUGCUCUAAUCCCGUGUAUGGGGUUCUCUAAUCCAUGUAUGGGGUGCUCUAAUCCCAUAAUCCCAUGUAUGGGGUGCUCUAAUCCCAUGUAUGGGGUGCUCUAAUCCCAUGUAUGGGGUGCUCUAAUGUAUGGGGUGCUCCAAUCCCAUGUAUAGGGUGCUCUAAUCCCAUAAUCCCAUGUAUGGGGUGCUCUAAUCCAUGUAUGGGGUGCUCUAAUAUAUGGGGUGCUCUAAUCCCAUGUAUUGGAUGCUUGUUUCUCGCCCCCCCCUGCAGACCCCCUGUCCCCCACCCCAUGGCCUCAGUGGGGCUGUGGGAUCCAGCAGCGCUCAUUGACUUUGCCUUGUUGCUUUGACACCCCACAGCAAAGCAGCAGCUGCCCGUAGAGCAUCGGAUCAAGGCUGGUUUCCUCCUGCACACGCAAUGAAAUCACCCCUUGCACCUCCAGCAUCACCUCUGCUCCUCAACCACCACUUCUGCUGCUGGAACAGCACUGCAAGAGUCUCAUUUUCCCUUUGAUUGAGUCCCAGCCGUCGAGGGCAGGAGGAGGACCUGGAGCAGCACAAGGACCGAAGGGACAUCAGCUGAGCCCCCCCCCCACCCAAAGGACCCCCAUAUGUGAGUACCAGGCCCUGCAGUGUGAGCUGCCAUUAAACAUCCCCCUUUGCCUUCACUCCCACCCAUCUCCCUGCUGCGAUUCAGCGGCGCCGUGUUGGGGAAUAAAGCAAGAAUUCCCCAUCAAACUGCUGCUAAAAAAGGCAGGAAGGGGAGGAGGAGGAGGAGGAGGAGGAAGGAAUGGCUGGUUCUUAGGGGCAAAUGGCAGCAAUGGGGCCAUAAAGCAGCUCUGUGUGCCCCCACUGAAAGGCUGGGAGCCCUUUGAAGUCAAUGGGUGUGAGAUGCAUCCCCUGUUUGCACAGCGUGAGGCUGAACCCAGGGGAUCCCCAGCACUGAUCCCUCCCCCUGCGGCUUCAGCUUCCCCUUUUACACUUGGUUUCCAUCUCCAUCAGCUCACACGGGGCUGUUAAGGAGAUCCCAGCCCUGAGAUCCCAGCCCUGAGAUCCCAGCACUGAGAUCCCAGCACUGAGAUCCCAACACUGAGAUCCCAGCACUGAGAUCCCAACACUGAGAUCCCAGCACUGAGAUCCCAACACUGAGAUCCCAGCCCUGAGAUCCCAGCCCUGAGAUCCCAGCACUGAGAUCCCAGCACUGAGAUCCCAGCACUGAGCUGGCUCAGCAGCUCUACCUGUCCCCAUCCUGCAGCUGAAAUCAGGGCUGGGGGCUUUUGUGCCGUUAUAUGCCCUUAUAUGUGCUUACAGCCCCAUAUAGGGGGUAAUUGUGGGGUAUCAAGGCUGGGUACUGCCUUCAUUAUGUGCCCUGCUGUGCUUACAGCCCCAUAUAGGGGGUAAUUGGGGUAUCAGGGGGUAAUUGGGGUAUCAGGGCUGGGGGCUGCCUUCAUUAUAUGCCCUUCUAUGUGCUUACAGCCUCACAUAGGGGUCUAUUUGGGUCCCUGCCCCAUAGCUGUAUGGCACAGCUGGGAUGCUGAGCAGGGGUUUAUUAGGGCAGCAGGGCUGGGUGGGGGGGGCAGCUCAGUGUCUGUGUCACCUCGUGGUGCUGAAGCUGAAGCUCGUGCCCUUGUGAUGCCCCCCAUGGAGCU